AGCCCUUUUCCCUUUCUGCCCUCUGCCAUGUGAGGUCACAGUGUUCCUCCCUCCUGAGGAUGCAGUGUUCAUGAAAGCAAACACUGGGCCCUCACCAGGCAACAAACCUGCUGGUGCCUUCAUCUUGGACUUCCCAGCCUUCGGAACUAUGGAGCCCGCACUCUCCAGUUCAUCACCACCCCAGCAUCCCUACUCUUGCAUCUAACAGUUUCCGCUAUUUUGCACCACCUGCCUGGCCCUUAUGGGCAACUCAAGGAAGAAAGGAAAGAAGAGAUAGAGGAAAAAUGGAUUCAACAAAUGAAAGUGUUCUUUCUGACUACUGCUGUGUUUACAAACAUUUUAAUCAUCAAAACAUGCUUUAUUUGAUAGAAAGAUCAAAUCUGCCUUUGUAAAACAAGAGACUAUUUUAAUCAUUAAGACAACACACAUGUUUGAUUUGGAGGCGUGUUCUCAUUCAAAACCUUGCAAAAUAUAAUUUCUUCUUGUCUGGGA
rnacentral:lncRNA from 10 species